rnacentral:rRNA from 1 species
CCUACGGGAGGCAGCAGUGGGGAAUAUUGGACAAUGGGCGCAAGCCUGAUCCAGCAAUGCCGCGUGAGUGAUGAAGGCCUUAGGGUUGUAAAGCUCUUUCGCACGCGACGAUGAUGACGGUAGCGUGAGAAGAAGCCCCGGCUAACUUCGUGCCAGCAGCCGCGGUAAUACGAAGGGGGCUAGCGUUGUUCGGAAUUACUGGGCGUAAAGGGCGCGUAGGCGGCCUGUUUAGUCAGAAGUGAAAGCCCCGGGCUCAACCUGGGAAUAGCUUUUGAUACUGGCAGGCUUGAGUUCCGGAGAGGAUGGUGGAAUUCCCAGUGUAGAGGUGAAAUUCGUAGAUAUUGGGAAGAACACCGGUGGCGAAGGCGGCCAUCUGGACGGACACUGACGCUGAGGCGCGAAAGCGUGGGGAGCAAACAGGAUUAGAUACCCCGGGUAGUCCACGCCGUAAACGAUGAAUGCUAGACGUCGGGGUGCAUGCACUUCGGUGUCGCCGCUAACGCAUUAAGCNUCGCGNGGNGACGCGCAGUAACGUACAAGANAGNGCGNGNGAGNGCGACGACGACGACGAGGAGGAG